GGCCGCGGUGACAGGCCCGGGCUUCCGACUGCGCCUGCGCCACGGGCUUCACCUGGCCAGAACCGGCUCAGCAGGUGCGGCCGACCGGAAACGGUGACUUUUCUUGCAGCGGAGCAAGUGUCUUCUGAAUAAACAUGAGGAGGUGGGAGCUCAAACAAAAGAACCGGAAACGUUUUCGAACCCGUAAGAGAGGAAAGGGGGUUGGACCAGGAUCUCUGGAGGAAGCCCCAGAAGGCGAGUCUUCGAGAAACAAGCAUCACCUUGAUGACACCUUGAUUUGGACUUUCUCAAAACCAUGAGCUAAUAAAUUCCCACUAUUUAAACCAA